rnacentral:lncRNA from 1 species
AGAUAGUGAUGAUAAUGAUAAUAGUCUUUUCCUGUUGAAAUGUAAAAUCUUUGAAGGUCUUUGCCAUGAGCUCAGGACAGGGACAUCUGCAUGCAUCUGUGAUCCUUUUCCCCUGGACCUUUCUCAUCAUAGACCUCUCACCCGGGUGAGGAAUAGUAAAGUGGAGGAAUUCCAUGGAGACUGGAACAACCUCCAGGAAGUGAUGCAGAGUGAGAGGAGCAGAACCAGGAGAACAUUGUACACAGAGACUGAUACACUGUGGUACAAUCGAACGGACUGAAAU